UACGUAGGGUGCGAGUCGUUAAUCGGAAUUACUGGGCGUAAAGCGUGCGCAGGCGGUGAUGUAAGACAGAUGUGAAAUCCCCGGGCUCACUGGGAACUGCAUUUGUGACUGCAUCGCUGGAGUGCGGCAGAGGGGGAUGGAAUUCCGCGUGUAAGCAGUGAAAUGCGUAGAUAUGCGGAGGAACACCGAUGGACGAAGGCAGCUCGCUGGGACGGUACUGACG
rnacentral:rRNA from 1 species